rnacentral:rRNA from 1 species
GACGAACGCUGGCGGCGUGCUUAACACAUGCAAGUCGAACGGAAAGGCCCUGCUUGCAGGGUACUCGAGUGGCGAACGGGUGAGUAACACGUGGGUGAUCUGCCCUGCACUUCGGGAUAAGCCUGGGAAACUGGGUCUAAUACCGGAUAGGAGCCAUUUUUAGUGUGAUGGUUGGAAAGUUUUUUCGGUGUAGGAUGAGCUCGCGGCCUAUCAGCUUGUUGGUGGGGUAAUGGCCUACCAAGGCGGCGACGGGUAGCCGUCCUGAGAGGGUGGACGGCCACAUUGGGACUGAGAUACGGCCCAGACUCCUACGGGAGGCAGCAGUGGGGAAUAUUGCACAAUGGGCGCAAGCCUGAUGCAGCGACGCCGCGUGGGGGAUGACGGCCUUCGGGUUGUAAACUCCUUUCGCUAGGGACGAAGCUUUUUGUGACGGUACCUAGAUAAGAAGCACCGGCUAACUACGUG